UGUUUUGUUGCGUGUUUGACCCCUCUUCGGAGCGCGUGUCUUCACGCACAAUUACUUUGGCGUCUGAAAGCAACGAACGUGACCGUAACCUCUUGUUGCCUUCUCUUCUCCUCGGAGAAUGCUGUUUGUUUUUGCAGGCAGUAUAUGGAGGCUUUUUUACUCAACAACUAGAGGGACCGCUGUUUCUUUCUUUAAACCAGAGGAAGGAUACGGCAAUAACAGGUCUGUGAUGCCCUUAGAUGUUCCGGGCUGCACACGUGAUACAUUGAUUACUUCAGUGAGUAUCUACGUUUUACUGCGUGGCAUUGCAAUGCAUAUUUCUUCGGAAGUGUGUUUUUGUUUGCCGCCUCAACCUGCUUCGAAAGCAUGCGGGUAACCAAUUAGAAGUAGUGAUUUCCUUUUUUUAUAAGCACACUAAUAUGGGGCAUCAUCACCCGGCAUGCAUUGUUGUAUGUUUUGUGUGUGGUGUUUGCUUUUCCAUGUGCUUUUGUCAAUUCAUAGUGGGGAUAGACCAUUGUUAAUUGUUGGUCUCGGUCUUAACUAGGAAUGCCUUGUACGAGUUUUUGGUUCAACAAACCACUCGGAAUACGUCCCUGCCCUUUGUACACACCGCCCGUCGCUCUUACCGAUGGAUUAUAUUAUGAGUCGGCAGGACCGUUUAGGAAAUGUUCGCGAAUAA
rnacentral:rRNA from 1 species